GAUGAACGCUAGCUACAGGCUUAACACAUGCAAGUCGCGGGGCAGCAUGGGGGUUGCUUGCAAUCCCCGAUGGCGACCGGCGCACGGGUGAGUAACGCGCAUCCAACCUGCCCUUCACCACGGGAUAACCCGGCGAAAGUCGGACUAAUACCGUAUGUUGUCCAUUGACGGCAUCCGAUUUGGACGAAAGGUUUGGCGGUGAAGGAUGGGGAUGCGUCCGAUUAGCUGGACGGCGGGGUGACGGCCCACCGUGGCGACGAUCGGUAGGGGUUCUGAGAGGAAGGUCCCCCACACUGGAACUGAGACACGGUCCAGACUCCUACGGGAGGCAGCAGUGAGGAAUAUUGAUCAAUGGGCGUAAGCCUGAACCAGCCAAGUAGCGUGCAGGAUGACGGCCCUAUGGGUUGUAAACUGCUUUUAUGCGGGGAUAAAGUGGCCCACGUGUGGGUUUUUGCAGGUACCGCAUGAAUAAGGACCGGCUAAUUCCGUG
rnacentral:rRNA from 1 species